rnacentral:tRNA from 1 species
UUUGUGGUGUAGUAGGUAUCACUACGGACUCUGAAUCCGUCGUCGCGAGUUCGAAUCUCGCUAA